UACGUAGGGUGCAAGCGUUGUCCGGAAUUAUUGGGCGUAAAGAGCUUGUAGGCGGUUUGUCGCGUCUGCUGUGAAAUUUCGGGGCUCAACCCCGAACUUGCAGUGGGUACAGGCAGACUAGAGUGUGGUAGGGGAGACUGGAAUUCCUGGUGUAGCGGUGAAAUGCGCAGAUAUCAGGAGGAACACCGAUGGCGAAGGCAGGUCUCUGGGCCACUACUGACGCUGAGAAGCGAAAGCAUGGGGAGCGAACAGG
rnacentral:rRNA from 1 species